rnacentral:tRNA from 1 species
GGUUGUGGCUCAGUGGUAAAGCGUUUGCCUAGCACGAGCGAGGCCCUGGGUUGGAUCCUCAGCACCA